UAACACCCACGGCCCUUCUGGCUGUGCUGGAGGGGCAGGGGGAACCACAACACCCGCGUUUGCCAUGGGCCGGCUACCGAGGGCCGAGGUCCCGGCGUUCCCCUCGCACGGGUGAACGAACGCUGGGGCCGAGUUGGGAGCGAACGCCGUGUCCACAUUCUUCAGCCCGAGCCGGGAACAUCAGCUCCUGUCCCGACGCCAAGGGCUGCAUUCCUCCCUGAUGCUGCUCCCAAAAAUGCCGGCCCGGGACGGUGCCACUGGGUCGAGGAAGGGGCUUGGGGUGGCUGCUGGUGGCACGUGGCAGGGCCGGGCAGGGGCUGGCGGGCAGUGCGGCCCCGCGUGUUUACCGAGCAGCGGUGCUGGCCGCAGGGAGAGGCAGGAAUUCGCUCCCCGCCAGGACCCCAAGGGCAGGCGGGCGGACCCGGGGAAUUCGCUCCUCCAGCCGGUUGCCAUGGCUGCAUAUUUCAGAGGAGCAAGCAAAGGGAAAAAAAAAAAAAAAAAAAAAAAAAAGGAAAAAAAGAAAACCAAAACGUUUUCUUGGGAGGGAAGAAAAAUAGCAGGGGGAAAAAAUGCAGAAGAGUAAUGAGAAGGACUAGAGAGGCCAAGAAAUGCAUGAGGUCAUCCUUAGAAACUGGUGUCGGAGGAGUUCUCUGUAGCUCGGGCUACUCUAAUAUUUAUUGUGUGUUGUUCAAACCCUGGCUCCUGGCACCGGCCGUGGAGCCCUUCAGGAGCUCCACCACACCAUGGGCCCUUCCGAAACCUCGUGAAGAGCUGGGGCUGGGCUCCGGGAGCGGUGGAGGGCGGCUGGCAGGGAGCCCAUGGGGGUGGCAGGAGGGCAGCGGGGCUCGGCUGGCCACGUUGUCCUGGUGGGCACCCAGGUGGCUGUGAGCCAGCAGCGUGCCCGUGUCCCAGAGCAUGCCAAGGAGUUCGGCAAAGCCCCGAGAGCAAGCCGAGGGCAUCCUGCCCCUCUGCUCGGCACUGGGGAGGCCACAGCUGGGUGCCACAGCCAAGCCUGGGCCCCCCAGCACAAGACAGAGCCGGGCACGCCAGAGGGAGCCCAGGGAAGGUCACCGAGCUGCUGGAGGGCCUGGAGCCCCUCUGCUGCGAGGAGAGGCUGCGGGAGCUGGGGCUGGAGCAGGGGAGGGCUGGGGGAGCCCACCCGUGCCCAUGGGUGCCUGCGGGGAGCUGCGGGUGGGACAGAGCCGGGCUCCUUGUGGUGGUGCCCAGGGACAGGGCAAGGGGCAGUGGGCACAGACCCAAGCAGAGGGGGUUCCCUCAGGGCAUUAGGGACAUGGAGGGGGCCCAGGAACGGGCCCAGGCUGCCCAGGGGGGUGCAGGGGGCUCCUCCGCCCAGGGCCGGGGCUGCCCACGCGUGGCACGGCCGGGCCCGGCCCCACGCUCGCUCCCAGGCCGGGCGGGCACUGCCACCUAGCGGCCCCUGCCCGCUGGGGACCCGCCGGGCCUCGGGCUGGUUUUGGGGUUUUUUUGUUAAUUAAGGAAUGUGUUUUAUUCAUUAAGGAACGUGUUUUUGCUGGCUGGUCUCAUUCCGCGCCCGGCGACGGCCUUGCUGCCCAGGUGGGAAACAAAACGUGCGAGUGAGGGGUAGGAACUGAUUCUGGGGUUGUUGGACACUGGAACAGGCUGCCCAGGGAGGUGGUGGAGUCACCAUCCCUGGAAGUCUUUAAAAGACGUUUAGAUGUAGAGCUUAGGGAUAUGGUUUAGUGGGAACUGUUAGCGUUACGUCAGAGGUUGGACUCGAUGAUCUUGAGGUCUCUUCCAACCUAGAAAUUCUGUGAUUCUAGGAAAUCUGUUGCCCUCUCCAGGAGGGAUUGUUAACACGCGAUGCCAAUAUUAUCAAAAUAACCACAGUUUUGAAAGCAAGAGGCACAAGUGUAAGCUUUCCACAGAGCUUUCACCCUGUGAAACGCCUCCAAAAGGUCAGCCUCUUCAUGCUGCCUCCACUGCUGUGCUCCGCAGGGAAGCUGAAGGAUGGAAAACACCGAGGUGGGACCUGUGGAAGAGACCCAAGGUCAGGCUUCUGCUUUCUGGGGAGACGCCGAGGUAUGACCUACAAUGGGACAAAUCCCCUCUGCAGGGAGAACGGUGGCAUCUGGCAGACAAACUCCCUGCACUUCCACCAGCCAUCAGGUGACUCACGGCUGCCCAGAAGACGCCUGGCCUGGGAUUUUGGGAGAGCUCUACAUCGAGGAAGAAGUUUUAGCCAGCAGAGAAAUGAGCUGGUGAGAGUGUGAGGUCCCUGCAGGUCACUUCUCCUCCUACAGCUGCAGGCCGAGAUGGGGCAGGACCAGGCCUAACAUGCCCCAGGCUCCCAGGGAAGGCAGCCCUGGUUUCAGCACUCCUCUUUGCCUCGAUAUCCACACACGUGCAGCUCUCUGUACUGCAGCCAGCAGGGAGCAGCUACGGCAUGGCUGAGCUCAUCGCAGAGGAGCGCGUGGUGGAAAAGCUGUGCCCCCCACCCCAAGCUGCUCCAAGACAUCCCGUGCCACACAGCAGACAGGGCUGGGAGAAACAGUCAGCCUUGAAAGCAAGAAAAGAGAGCAAAUGUAAAUCGCAUAGCAAAUCCCCAGAGCCUGCUAUAGUCAUUUAUGCUUCUCCAAAGCAUUAAGCUACUAGUGAACCACUCAAACGCUGGGUAUCCAUGAAUUCCUAUGGCGUGAGCAGCUGGAGGAUGAAUGGUCCAGCAGGGACUCCAAAAACACCCAGAACAGUUGUACAAGAGGAGGCAAGGUUGUCUUUCUCCAGCCCUUUCCUGACCCUUACCUCAUUUCCAAGACAAGGAUCUAUGAAAACACAGCAGUCAAAGAACAGAAUCGUCAAAAGCACAAAGCAUUUUAAUGAGGCGAAACAUCCUGCUAAGUCUUUCAGUUUAUUGGUGUUGAGCAUGUUCCAAGCCCUAAGAAAAGGACUCAGAAAAACUAUUAAAAUAGUUGGCUUACGGGACCUGCAAUGUAAGCAUGAUUAAAAUUGAUCUGACUCCAUUUUGGCCUAUGAGAGCUUAUCAUCUACAGGAAUCAGUUUUUCGGAAGUAAAGUAACUGUCUCAAAUAAGAGGUGUCCAGUUGAGCUUAGGGUGCAACAGCAUUGCCCAGUGCUGGGAAUAAAAGCAGAUACGAAGUUUGGCCACGAUAUAGCAGUGACUGGAUCCUGUGUCCAGCUGAGGAAAUCGAUACCAGUGCUCUCCUCCAUGCCCAUGGGCAGGUCCUGGUGAGUCUGGACACCUUCUGUCCUGGUCCAAAGGCCACCAGAAGCUGUGGGAAGGAUCCUGUUGCCGACAGUGAGUUUUUUAAUAUCAUCUAUCAUUCAUCAUGGUCUGGAAUGUGUGGCUACUCCAGUAGCCUAAGCACGGAGAGGAGCUUAAGAGUCAUCAUGCUCUCUCAUGCAUCUCGCUUUGAUGGAUCCAGGAACUACACAACCUCUUCUGGACAGGGCUGGGAGCAGUGAAAGUGGAUGACUGCUGAUCUAGGUGAACCCAUCCGUCUGUCUGUAUGAUUUGAUAUCUGGAGCAUUCCCUCACCCUCAGUUCUCCUUCCUGGGCUGUGGGAAAAGGGAUGGCAAAUUUAGAGAUAUGGGAGAAAAAAGUGGUAAGCCCCCAGUCUGCUCCUGCCAGACAGGAGAGGAGAAGUGGAAACCCUGGGACACCUGGCUCCUUGAAAGAUAGAUGCUGGACUGAAGAAGCAAACCAUCUGGGCUGGGACACACACGUUUUCUGCUCCUUGGGCUGUGUGACCAACGCGCAGUUUGGUUGGACCCCAUCCAAGCACUCACCUGGUACUCAGGAAGAAGAGAAACUGAAGACAAAAAUGGAGGAGGAGGCAGAAGUGUCUGUUUCUGUGUGUCUAGUUCUCCACAAGGAGUGUGACGCGGUCACUUACAGUCGUGAAGAGGAGGUGGGGACAGCCACCUUUGUCACAGCACUGUGUGCCAGUGAGGCUGGACAUGGGGUGAUCCCAAAGCCCUGUCUCCUUUCUUCCAGCACCCCCGUAAAUACACGCCUCCCACUAAGUCCUAAUGUGUCGAACUCUGCUCAUUGCCACCAACUGCCAGCUAUUUGCUUUCUCUAAUUUUGUUUUGCAUCCACAAAUGAAUACCAGCUCUUCCACGCCUCCUGGGACACCGUGGUGGUAAGCGCUGACACCAUCCCGCUCAGAGCACGAGCCGUGAUGCAUCUCGACGCCUGGCCAAGCAAAACUUCUCUGUAAAAGUGCUGCGAACUCACAGCUAUUGCUAGCAGCUUUCCGUGCAGUCUGUGUGUAUCUUCUUGCAAUGUAUAAUCUUACCCAGAAUGGUUUUGAAAGACUGAGAACUUGAUCCUGCCAAAAAUAGUCUGUGCAGCCAAAACAAAUCAACAGAGGAUCUUUAGCAUUUGUGCUGGCCUGCGAGUUACAUUUUUCACCUUUUUCAAAUGAUACGUUUCUUGACAUCAAUGAAACCUUCAUUUGACUUGUAAACCCCCUAAUUAUUCUUUCAAGUGUGACAAACAGUAUUUUAAUUAUAACGUCAGGGCUCAGUAAGCAAUUAGCUUCACGGGCGUAGCAGAAAAGACACACCACCAGGGACUUUAGCCCUAAAAGCGCCUGUGUGCAGGCUGGCAGAUGUAUCCUAAGAAUUUGUUUAUUUGCAUUUGGUUUAUGUGGUUUUGGUGACCUUUCGUUCAAAUCAGCCAGUGACUUACAGGAGGCGAGCUGCAUACUCACUGAAAAGAAAUGCGGUAAAAUAAUCUAGCCCGGGCCUUUCUGCUGAAUAUCACAUUUCUGCUGAAUAUCACAUCCCCGCGUCAAAGGCAGGGAUGGCUGAGGCUAAGGGUAAAGGGACACGGUCCAUGGAUGGGGUGGCUGCAGGGACGUUGCCCCCACAUUCCUGGUGGAGAACAGCAGCCCAGAUGUGGGUUAUCAGAUAUAAGGCCUGGCUGGCUGGGUGCAUCCUACAGGGGGAAAGGGGGCAGAGAAAGGCUUCAGUCCCUUACUGGGACGAGGUAAUGUGAUGCCUAAGCCCAUGCAACGUGGUUUCCACGUAGGCUGGACCCAAGGCAGAACCUUUUGCCCUUUGAGGUCCUCAGAGGUUUGUUUGGAGGCCACACUUCCUACCUCAUUUUGAGGGGUAGGUGAAUGUGUAGGUCACCUAUGGGCCUGGCACCGUCAGAGGCUGUUUUAUGGCCGGGGAGUGCCACGCAGGCUGCCUGCUUGCCUCACCGGGAAAGGCCAUCAACAUUUUCAUUGGGAGUGGGCUGUAUUUCAGGAUGCAUAUCACUGAAACCCAGGCAAGGGUGGCUCUGCAUGAGAAAAUACCACAAGUACAAGAGAUAACACUGCACUGGUCAUCUUUGAGCCAUCAGGAGAUAACAGUGCUUUGCUCUCAGCAACCUGAACCGUGAGGGUGUUAUUGCUGCUGUCAACAGGUUAUUUAUUUUAAGGGAAUAAACGAGGUUUGUUGUUGAAAUG